UUGUCAAUGGCCUCAUUGGUCA
rnacentral:misc_RNA from 1 species